UACGAAGGGUGCAAGCGUUACUCGGAAUUACUGGGCGUAAAGCGUGCGUAGGUGGUUCGUUAAGUCUGAUGUGAAAGCCCUGGGCUCAACCUGGGAAUUGCAUUGGAUACUGGCGGGCUAGAGUACGGUAGAGGGUGGCGGAAUUCCUGGUGUAGCAGUGAAAUGCGUAGAUAUCAGGAGGAACAUCCGUGGCGAAGGCGGCCACCUGGACCAGUACUGACACUGAGGCACGAAAGCGUGGGGAGCAAACAGGAUUAGAUACCCG
rnacentral:rRNA from 1 species